ensembl:lncRNA
GGGUGGUGUCACCUGCAAACGUCAGGAGCCUGACGGACUGGUGACUGGAGGUGCAGCUGUUGGUGUACAGAGAGAGGAGCAGAAGGGAAAGAAAGCAGCCCUGGGGGAACCGUUGCUGAUGCAGAGAGAGCCUGAGACAUGUUUCACCAGCUUCACGUGCUGCUUCCUGUAAGACAGGAAGUCUGUGAUCUAAAUGCAAAGGAUCGACUGGCAAGGCAAGGGGAAGGAAGCCGCACAAGAUACUGGUCACGGGCUCAAAGCGAGCGAGCGAUCCGCGUCGGCGUCCAACCAUGGGAGAGAGCUGUCGGCAAGGUGGCCCAGCUGGCAGUGCCCAGGGCUCCCAGGGGCCCGAGAGCGGCCUGACGUGGAGAGUCAAGGGGGCUGAAGGAUGACAGGGGACAGCUGGAGAAGAGGAAGACUCUAAGGACCAAAGUUGACGGCGAGAGAGCCAUGGAUCAGGAGUACGGUUCAGCGUCUUCUUUUCCGUCUGUACGAUCACGAAAAACCCUUUGGGACUCCCUGCAAGUUUGUUUUUGUUUUUUGUUUUGAGCUUCUUAUACAUCUCAUGUAAUGUCUAAAUAUCCAUGUCUACAGUAAUUUGUAAUAUUGAGUCCACAGUACUCACCGG